GGGUUUCGAGUUGUUUCGGGCUCCGGCCCGAUCCUCCCACCCUUUGUGUACCUACCUCUGUUGCUUUGGCGGGCCGCGGUCCUCCGCGGCCGCCCCCCUCCCCGGGGGGGUGGCCAGCGCCCGCCAGAGGACCAUCAAACUCCAGUCAGUAAACGAUGCAGUCUGAAAAACAUUUAAUAAACUAAAACUUUCAACAACGGAUCUCUUGGUUCUGGCAUCGAUGAAGAACGCAGCGAAAUGCGAUAAGUAAUGUGAAUUGCAGAAUUCAGUGAAUCAUCGAAUCUUUGAACGCACAUUGCGCCCUUUGGUAUUCCGAAGGGCAUGCCUGUUCGAGCGUCAUUACAACCCUCAAGCUCUGCUUGGUAUUGGGCACCGUCCUUUGCGGGCGCGCCUCAAAGACCUCGGCGGUGGCGUCUUGCCUCAAGCGUAGUAGAACAUACAUCUCGCUUCGGAGCGCAGGGCGUCUCCCGCCGGACGAACCUUCUGAACUUUUCUCAAGGUUGACCUCGGAUCAGGUAGGGAUACCCGCUGAACUUAAGCAAAUCAAUAAGCGGAGGAA
rnacentral:rRNA from 1 species